rnacentral:sRNA from 1 species
UAUUCUGCCCCAUGGGGAAGGAUGAGAAGCUUCGACUAAGGUUCGACUCGAGCGCCAGCGAGAGAACGUUGCCACAGGCAACGGCCCGAAGGGCGAGGCGCUUUAGCGCCGAGUAAUCCUUCCCCCACC